AUGGAGAGAGAGGUUGAAACUUGGAGUCGAAAAGUGGAGGUAGAAGGUGGAGGAGAGAAAGGGACUGAAGGUGGUUUAUGUUGCAGUUCGAGAGUGAGGAAGAUGAAGGGAGAAGAGUGGAAGUUUUUGGUGAUAACGGAUCAAGGAGAUGAAGGUCUCAAGAUGCAGGGAUUGAUCAAGAAGAGAGCCAAAAGAGACUUCUCUGAUAAUUUUUUCUGGGUCAUGGUUUCUCUUUUCUUUUGGAUGAAUGAUUAUAUGCAGAUUUUUCGUAACAAGUUUUUGUGA